CAGUUCAUGACUUAGAAUCACUUUCCUUUGCUAAUUUUUUAGAAUAAUUGAGUGGUUAAAUGAAAAACUCAGAAUAUGAAAACGUAGCAUGGUUGGGGUCUUUGGACAUGACCCAUCACUAGGGAUUCAUGAUACACAUUAACAGUAGAUCUAAUCAGAUCUCUCCAGCCCCUGGGAGAUGUUACAUUACCUACCUCCCCAUAAAGGUCACCUAAUCUCAGUGAACAUGAGAACUGUGAAAUGGCCUGCAGAAGAUGUAUUGGGAAAAAAACGAAGAAGAAACAAAGCCAGAACAUGGGAGAAGAGGUGGCAGAGAGAGGGAGCACCAGGUUUUAUCAGUGUGAAACUUUUCUCCAGACAACAUUUACAAGGCCAGCCUUUAAAUAUGUCAAAAUACAUAGAGUAUCAUUCACAGUCUGGCUUUUUAUUAACUUAAAACCAGUGGUUUUCAAUUCUUGUAGAACAAAUUUAAGCCAAAUGACAGCAGAUUUCCUUUUCUUAUUUGUCUUUCUCAUGACCAAUAGACAUCGUCUUGAGACACUCAUUGUUUUGUGACUGCAGGCUAAAAUCUGCUGCUCUGGAGAUCUUAGCCGAUUGGAAAGCCUGGGUGUGGAACAGCAGAGAUUAAGAGAAACAUCCACAUUUAUGCCUUACUGAGCCAGACUCUUCCUAAAAUACUACAUUCUAAAAUUAGAUUAAAUAGCAGCCCCUCCUGUAAAUUUUAGAAUCCCCAGCAAAUAUCCUAAGUGAGCUUAGUACUUUAAGAAAUGAACUACCUGUAACCCUAGAAAAUGAAUGCAACAAUAGUGUGUUAUAUAGAGAAACUAAAAGGUGUCAUAUUUCCCAGUUAGUCUUUUUUUCCUGUGAUUUUUACUUGCUUUUAUACCCACAUUUUCAUAUUGUAAACACUGCAAAAUAUAUUAAAAGCAUUAGCACUCAAUAUGAAUCAAAACGUAUGGACUAAUUUAUUUCUUCCUUCUUUCAAAAGCCAAGCAAUUUUGUGGUCCCUGCUUUUGGAAAAUUCUGGCUCCCUAUUCAGUUUGGCAUGUGCAAGAUGCAAAUAAUUCUGGCAACUCUGGCAGAAAAAACCUUUUCAAGACAUUUAAUGAUGCGAGAAACCUGAGACAUUUUCUGGUCCAGCCAAUAAAAUGAGAAGAUCAAACCCUCUUUUGAUGAAUGGAGAAGUCUUUUUGGAAAUAUCUGAGAACCUGUCAAACCCGAUCUUUGUGACUGGAUACUUAGUAAGGGAAAAGCAGAAUUCUAGAGAAGCAAGAAGAAGUGUUUGGGGCUAGAGGAAAAAUGAAAUAAGAAAAUGGCAAAGAAAGAAGAGAAAAUUAAAAAGUUUUAUAAUGUGCUGGCUGGGAGAAUAGUUUUCUCCUCUUUUAUUUAAUUCCGAGUGAAGGCUUUUGUUCUGUUACUCAAAUAAAGAUAAAAUGUAAAAAUAAA